AAAAAACUUUAGGGGUGCCUUUGUGCUGAGAAAUACCCUUUGAACCUGAUGCAGUUAGUACUGCCGAAGGGAAAAGUGGAAACGACAUG
rnacentral:ncRNA from 2 species